UACAGAGGGUGCAAGCGUUGUUCGGAAUUACUGGGCGUAAAGGGCUCGUAGGCGGCCAACUAAGUCAGACGUGAAAUCCCUCGGCUUAACCGGGGAACUGCGUCUGAUACUGGAUGGCUUGAGUUUGGGAGAGGGAUGCGGAAUUCCAGGUGUAGCGGUGAAAUGCGUAGAUAUCUGGAGGAACACCGGUGGCGAAGGCGGCAUCCUGGACCAACACUGACGCUGAGUGAGCGAAAGCCAGGGGAGCAAACGGG
rnacentral:rRNA from 1 species